rnacentral:misc_RNA from 1 species
AACUGAUACUACCUGCGGGAACCUGCGGAAGGAUCAUUAUCUAUAACCGGGUGUGGCUGCGGCCUCCGGGGGCGUGGGCGUCGAGAUGAUGCCCUCUCUUCCGGGUGGUAGAGGUAAAACUCUCACGCGCCACAUGUCUGAAUCCUUUUUUUACGAGCACCUUUCGUUCUCCUUCGGUGGGGUGACCUGCCGUUGGAACCCAUCAAAACUCUUUUUGCAUCUAGCAUUACCUGUUCUGAU